UGAAGCAUAUCCUAGAGUGGGCUGAUCAAAUUCAACAUUUGACGGCCAUAGAUGCCAGAAUGCAAGUUUAAAUGGCCUGGAUGACAGUCCAGAAUUUAUUUUAUUUAUAUUCAUUUAUUAUAACAAGGGCUCCUAUGUUUCUCUCUGAAUAAACAUCCUUCAUGAACAGGCACAGUGAAUGCUUCAGACAUUGUUAUCAGAUCAAGAUUGGUUCUCAGAGAUUCCCAGCCAAGUAAGCAGAAGUAUACAAUAAUAUAAAAAAACUCUAAACUCUGCUUUGUGUUCCAACUUCUCUAAAAUGCACCACUUCUGUGUAGCUUGACAAGACCGCCGACUAGAAACAAAAGGCCUCUAACCUCCUAUAUAGAGGUCCACAGAAGAUAACAACAUAAAAAAGUUUGAUGAAAUUAUUUUCCAUCAUCUGAUCUGGGUACAGCAGACUCGCUAACACUACUGAAUGAUGAGCCUAUGUAGCAUACAUAGCAUCUCCUCAACUCUUAUCGAAAACAUGUUAUAUAUACUACAUUUUUGAGAACCCCAACAACCCCCAACUGUGCUGUGCACUGAAAUGCAGGCAGGGAUUGCUUGUCCACUGCCAGUGCAACUGUAAGUUCGGAAGCUCACCAUGCAUCACAGUUGUUGCCCAUUGUUUGAUGUGGGGAACAUUUAAAACCAGUCGCAGACUUGGCUGUUUUCUCACUUGUGCUUGAAGUCUUUCUACACUUUUAAUCUGAGAAGGGAGCGACUACAAGAUGGUGACAGCAUGCUGGGGAUUCUGAGAGUGUUGAAGAGACAGUUCCAGUUUAAAUAACUUUGAGAAGACAAUAAAAAUGAUCUUUUUUAGA